CCUACGGGUGGCAGCAGUGAGGAAUAUUGGUCAAUGGACGAAAGCCUGAACCAGCCAAGUAGCGUGCAGGAUGAAUGCCCUACGGGUUGUAAACUUCUUUUGUACGGGGAUAACACCUUCCACGUGUGGAGUUUUGCAUGUACCUUACGAAUAAGGACCGGCUAAUUCCGUGCCAGCAGCCGCGGUAAUACGGAGGUCCCGAUCGUUAUCCGGAUUUAUUUGGCUUAAAGGGAGCGGAGGCGGAGUGUUAAGUCAGGUGGGAAAGCCGCGGGCUUAACCGGACAAUCGCAGUUGAAACUGGACGCCUUGAGUACAGAAGAGGGGGGCGGAAUUCGUGGUGUAGCGGUGAAAUGCUUAGAUAUCACGAGGAACACCGAGUGCGAAGGCAGCCCACUGGGGUGCGACUGACACGGAGGCUCGAAAGUGUGGGUAUCAAACAGGAUUAGAUACCCCUGUAGUC
rnacentral:rRNA from 1 species